rnacentral:rRNA from 1 species
UACGAAGGGGGCUAGCGUUGCUCGGAAUCACUGGGCGUAAAGCGCACGUAGGCGGAUUGCUAAGUCAGGGGUGAAAUCCUGGAGCUCAACUCCAGAACUGCCUUUGAUACUGGCGAUCUCGAGUCCGGGAGAGGUGAGUGGAACUGCGAGUGUAGAGGUGAAAUUCGUAGAUAUUCGCAAGAACACCAGUGGCGAAGGCGGCUCACUGGCCCGUAACUGACGCUGAGGCACGAAAGCGUGGGGAGCAAACAGG